AGGACUAAGAAACUUGAGGCUAGGCUGACCCCAUGGUUGUUAUGAUUAGAAAUCCGAGGCCACUGGAAACCCGGAGCUGCUGACCAACGAGUCACAGGGUAACUUCGCCUUCGCAUGGGGAAACGGGCUGGUGCAGUGGUGUCAUCUUGGCUCAGUGCAGCCUCGACUUCCUGGGAUCCAGCGAUCCUCCCGCUUCAGCCUCUAGAGUAGCCGAGACCACAGGUCACCCCUCGCUGCCAGGCUCUCUUCCCGGUCCAGAGCCCACAGGAUCCUACAGGAGGGGCCAACAACUGCUUGCCUUUGAAACUUGAAACUCUCGGUCUAAGGUUCCUUAGGAGCGUAAAAGGCACAGCGUUUUCUGAUCGCAGCUUCAGGUCUCCCGCCCCUGUCCCGGUACCUCUCCUGCAGGACGGAACUCUGUGGGAACGCUCGUUGAUUCUGAUGGUUAACUGUCAGAUAUCCUUGAUAUUGGACAUAGGAUUUGGAAGAGGGCAGGAGAGAAAAAUGAACUGCAAGACUCCAGCACAAGAGGUGGGAUUGCUGGCAGAUGUCUGCUCCCUCUCCAAACCUAAUGAACAUCUCAAAGUGCCAUCCACUUUCCUAUACCCUUGAUCUGUGAAAUGGAUCACUGACGCUUUCUCUGUCUUUCCGGAAAUGCAAAACAGGAACAGAAACAACACACUCAGACUUGAGAAACUGGUCUGGUUUAAAAGGGUUCCUGGCCUUACAGGUCCUGAAGAAAUUUUUCCAGAUGAAUUAGUGAUCAUCUCCCAACUAUUUGGACUUUGGUGUCUGCCAUUCUGUAUAUAACAGAACAUACUAUAAAAGCACAGUCUGUACUGGACAGAAUCAUUUACUCCCUUUCCUAGACCAGCCACGUAGCUUGGCCUGAUCUGGAGGCUAAAAUAUGGAGCCCCAUUCAUCAUCUUUGGAAGAGCUGUCUUGAAGGCAGCAUGUCCAGAGCCCCACAUGCCACCAGACUUAAGCCUAAAGUAAGCUGGGAUUGGGCAAUGGACAACUUCACUGCACUGAGCCACCACUGCCAAUGUCCCCAGUUCUGUGCACAUAUGAAGUACAGUGCAUUCAGGCUGCCAUGCUGGGCUUACAUAGGCUAGAGUCAUUUCUGAAGUUUAAAGGGGACAAAAAUGUUGUUGAGACCCACACUCUGGGGCCAAUGGCUGAAACCACAGAAGAGCUACACUCACUUGAAAAAUAAGUGUAUGCUGAGAUCGUUCGAAGAUGGCUGAAUAGGAACAGCUCCAGUCUAAAGCUCCCAGCGUGAGCAACACAGAAGACAGGUGAUUUCUGCAUUUCCAACUGAGCUUUGAAGAGAGCAGUUGUUCUCCCAGCAUGGAGUUUGAGAUCUGAGAACGGACAGACUGCCUCCUUAAGUGGGUCCCUGGCCCCCGAGUAGCCUAACUGGGAGACACCUCCCAGUAGGGGCCAACUGACACCUCAUACAGCCGGGUGCCCCUCUGAGACGAAGCUUCCAGAGGAAGGAUCAGGAAGCAACAUUUGCUAUUCUGCAAUAUUUGCUGUUCUGCAGCCUCCACUGGUGAUACCCAGGCAAAUAAGGUCUGGAGUGGACCUCCAGCAAACUCCAACAGACCUGCAGCUGAGGGUUCUGACUGUUAGGAGGAAAACUAACAAACAGAAAGGAAUAGUAUCAACACCAACAAAAAGGACAUCCACACCAAACCCCAUCUGUAGGUUACCAUCAUCAAAGACCAAAGGUAGAUAAAACCACAAAGAUGGGGAGAAACCAGAGCAGAAAAGCUGAAAAUUCUAAAAUCAGAGCAUUUCUUCUCCUCCAAAGAAUCACAGCUCCUCGCCAUCAACGGAACAAAGCUGGACAGAGAAUAACUUUGACGAGGUGACAGAAGUAGGCUUCAGAAGAUCGGUAAUAACAAACUUCUCCGAGCUAAAGGAGGAUGUUCAAACUCAUCGCAAAGAAGCUAAAAACCUUGAAAAAAGAUUAGACGAAUGGCUAACUGGAAUAAACAGCAUAGAGAAGACCUUAAAUGACCUGAUGGAGCUGAAAACCAUGGCACAAGUACUACGUGAUGCAUGCACAAGCUUCAGUAGCCGAUUUGAUCAAGUGGAAGAAAGCGUAUCAGUGAUUGAAGAUCAAAAGAAUGAAAUGAAGUGAGAAGUUAGAGGAAAAAAGAGUAAAAAGAAAUGAACAAAGCCUCCAAGAAAUAUGGGACUAUGUGAAAGGGCCAAAUCUACAUUUGAUUGGUGUACCUGAAAGUGACAGGGAGAAUGGAACCAAGUUGGAAAACACUCUUCAGGAUAUUAUCCAGGAGAACUUCCCCAACCUAGCAAGGCAGGUCAACAUUCAAAUUUAGGAAAUGCAGAGAAUGCCACAAAGAUACUCCUCAAGAAGAGCAACCCCAAGACACAUAAUCGUCAGAUUCACCAAGGUUGAAAUGAAGGAAAAAAAGGUUAAGGGCAGCCAGAGAGAGGUCAGGUUACCCACAAAAGGAAGCCCAUCAGACUAACGGUGGCUCUCUCAGCAGAAACUCUACAAGCCAGAAGAGAGUGGGGGCCAAUAUUCAACAUUCUUAAAGAAUUUUCAACCCAGAAUUUCAUAUCCAGCCAAACUAAGCUUCAUAAGUGAAGGAAACAUAAAAUCCUUUACAGACAAGCAAGUGCUGAGAGAUUUUGUCACCACCAGGCCUGCCUUACAAGAGCUCCUGAAGGAAGCACUAAAGGAACAACCGGUACCAGCCACUGCAAAACAUGCCAAAUUGUAAAGACCAUUGGUGCUAGGAAGAAACUGCAUCAACUAACAAGCAAAAUAACCAGCUAACAUCAUAAUGACAAGAUCAAGUUCACACGUAACAAUACUAACCUUAAAUGUAAAUGGGCUAAAUGCCCCAAUUAAAAGACACAGACUGGCAAAUUGGAUAAAGAGUCAAGACCCAUCAGUGUGCUGUAUUCAGGAGACCCAUCUCACCUGCAGAGACACACAUAGGCUCAAAAUAAAGAGAUGGAGGAAGAUCUACCAAGCAAAUGGAAAACAAAAAAAGCAGGGGUUGCAAACCCACUCUCUGAUAAAACAGAUUUUAAACCAACAAAGAUCAAAAGAGACAAAAGAGACAAAGAAGGCCAUUACAUAAUGGUAAAGGGAUCAAUUCAACAAGAAGAGCUAACUAUCUUAAAUAUAUAUGCACCCAAUACAGGAGCACCCAGAUUCAUAAAGCAAGCCCUUAGAGACCUACAAAGAGACUUAGACUCCCACACAAUAAUAAUGGGAGACUUUAACACUCCACUCUCAACAUUAGACAGAUCAACAAGACAGAAAGUUAACAAGGAUAUCCAGGACUUGAACUCAGCUCUGCACCAAGUGGACCUAAUAGACAUCUACAGAACUCUCCACCCCAAAUCAACAGAAUAUAUACAUUCUUCUCAGCACCACACUGCACUUAUUCCAAAAUUGACCACAUAGUUGGAAGUAAAGCACUCCUCAGCAAACGUAAAAGUACAGAAAUUAUAACAAACUGUCUCUCAGACCAUAGUGCAAUCAAAUUAGAACUCAGGAUUAAGAAACUCACUCAAAACCGCAAAACUACAUGGAAAUUGAAUAACCUGCUCCUGAAUGACUACUGGGUACAUAACUAAAUGAAGGCAGAAAUAAAGAUGUUCUUUGAAACCAAUGAGAACAAAGACACAACAUACCAGAAUCUCUGGGACACAUUUAAAGCAGUGUGUAGAGGGAAAUUUAUAGCACUAAAUGCCCACAAGAGAAAGCAGGAAAGAACUAAAACUGACACGCUAACAUCACAAUUAAAAGAACUAGAGAAGCAAGAGCAAACAUAUUCAAAAGCUAGCAGAAGGCAAGAAAUAACUAAGAUCAGAGCAGAACUAAAGGAGACAGAGACACAAAAAACCCUUCAAAACAUCAAUGGUAUCCAGGAGCUGGUUUUUGGAAAAGAUCAACAAAAUUGAUAGACCACUAGCAAGACUAAUAAAGAAGAAAAGAGAGAAGAAUCAAAUAGACGCAAUAAAAAAUGAUAAAGGGGAUAUCACCACCGAUCCCACGGAAAUACAAACUACCAUCAGAGAAUACUAUAAACACCUCUAUGUAAAUAAACUAGAAAACCUAAAAGAAAUGGAUAAAUUCCUGGACACAUCCACCCUCCCAAGACUAAACCAGGAAGAAGUUGAAUCCCUGAAUAGACCAAUAACAGGCUCUGAAAUUGAGGCAAUAAUUAAUAGCCUACCAACCAAAAAAAGUCCAGGACCAGAUGGAUUCACAGCCAAAUUCUGUCAGCGGUAGGAAGAGGAGCUGGUACCAUUCCUUCUGAAAUUAUUCCAAUCAGUAGAAAAAGAUGGAAUCCUCCCUAACUCAUUUUAUGAGGCCAGCAUCAUCCUGACACCAAAGCCUGGCAGAGACACAACAAAAAAAGAGAAUUUUAGGCCAAUAUCACUGAUGAACAUCGAUGCAAAAAUCCUCAAUAAAAUACUGGCAAACUGAAUCCAGCAGCACAUCAAAAAGCUUAUCCACCAUGAUCAAGUUGGCUUCAUCCCUAGGGUGCAAGGCUCAUUCAACAUACACAAAUCAAUAAACCUAAUCCAUCAUAUAAACAGAACCAAAGACAAAAACCACAUGAUUAUCUCAAUAGAUGCAGAAAAGACCUUCAACAAAAUUCAACAACGCCUCAUGCUAAAAACUCUCAAUAAACUAGGUAUUGAUGGGACUUAUCUCAAAAUAAUAAGAGCUAUCUAUGACAAACCCACAGCCAAUAUCAUACUGAAUGGGCAAAAACUGGAAGCAUUCCCUUUGAAAACUGGCACAAGACAGGGAUGCCCUCUCUCACCACUCCUAUUCAACAUAGUGUUGGAAGUUCUGGCCAGGGCAAUCAGGCAGGAGAAAGAAAUAAAGGGUAUCCAUUUAGGAAAAGAGGAAGUCAAAUCCUCCCUGUUUGCAGAUAACAUGAUUGUAUAUCUAGAAAAUCCCAUCGUCUCAGCCCAAAAUCUCCUUAAGCUGAUAAGCAACUUCAGCAAAGUCUCAGGAUACAAAAUCAAUGUGCAAAAAUCACAAGCAUUCCUAUACAACAAUAACAAACAGAGAGCCAAAUACUGAGUGAACUCCCAUUCACAAUUGCUUCAAAGAGAAUAAAAUACCUAGGAAUCCAACUUACAAGGGAUGUGAAGGACCUCUUCAAGGAGAACUACAAACCACUGCUCAAUGAAAUAAAAGAGGACACAAACAAAUGGAAGAACAUUCCAUGCUCAUCGAUAGGAAGAAUCAGUAUUGUGAAAAUGGGCAUACUGCCCAAGGUAAUUUAUAGAUUUUUUUUUUUUAUUUUUUGAGACGGAGUCUCGCUCUGUUGCCCAGGCUAGAGUGCAGUGGCUUGAUCUUGGCUCACUGCAAGCUCCGCCUCCCGGGUUCAUGCCAUUCUCCUGCCUCAGCCUCCCAAGUGGCUAGGACUACAGGCACCCACCACAAUGCCCGGCUAAUUUUUUGUAUUUUUUUAGUAGAGACAGGGUUUCACCAUGUUAACCAGGAUGGUCUGGAUCUCCUGACCUCGUGAUCCGCCCACCUCAGCCUCCCAAAGUGCUGGGAUUACAGGCAUGAGCCACCGCGCCCGGCCGGUAAUUUAUAGAUUUAAUGCCAUCCCCAUCAAGCUACCAAUGACUGUCUUCACAGAAUUGGAAAAAGCUACUUUAAAGUUCACAUGGAACCAAAAAAGAGCCCACAUUGCCAAGACUGUGGGGGAAAUAAAGAGAGAUCAGGCUGUUACUGUGUCUAUGCAGAAAGAAGAAGACAUAAGAAACUCCAUUUUGUUCUGUAGUAAGAAAAAUUCUUCUGCCUUGAGAUGCUAUUAAUCUGUAACGCUAGCCCCAACCCUGUGGUCACAGAAAUAUUUGCUGUGUUGACUCAAGGUUUAAUGGAUAUAGGGCUGUGCAGGAUGUGCUUUGUUAAAAAUGUGUUUGCACGCAGUAUGCUUGGUAAAAGUCAUCACCCUUCUCUGGUCUCAAGUACCCAGGGACACAAUGCACUGUCGAAGGCCACAGGGACCUCUGCCCAAGAACGCCUGGGUAUUGUCCAAGGUUUCUCCCCACUGAGACAGCCUGAGACAUGGCCUCGUGGGAAGGGAAAGACCUUACCGUCCCCCAGCCCGAUACCCAUAAAGGGUCUGUGCUGAGGAGGAUUAGUGAAAGAGGAAGGCCUCUUUGCAGUUGAGAUAAGAGGAAGGCAUCUGUCUCCUGCUCGUCCCCGGGAAUGGAAUGUCUUGGUGUAAAACCCGAACGUACAUUCUAUUUACUGAGAUGGGAGAAAACUGCCUUAUGGCUGGAGGUGAGACAUGCUGGCGACAAUACUGCUCUUUACUGCACUGAGAUGUUUGUGUAAAGUCAAACAUAAAUCUGGCCUACAAGCACAUCGAGGCACAGCACCUUUCCUUAAACUUAUUUAUGACACAGAGUCCUUUGUUCACAUGUUUUCCUGCUGACCCUCUCCCCACCCUGCCACAUCCCCCUCACCAAGAUAGUAGAGAUAGUGAUCAAUAAAUACUGAGGGAACUCAGAGACCAGAGCCGGUGCGGGUCCUCCAUAUGCUGAGCGCUGGUCCUCUGGGCCCACUGUUCUUUCUCUAUACUUUGUCUCUGUGUCUUAUUUCUUUUCUCAGUCUCUCAUCACACCUGAUGAGAAAUACCCACAGGUGUGGAGGGGCUGGCCCCCUUCAAAGACAAUCCUAAGCAAAAAGAACAAAACUGGAGGCAUCAUGCUACCUGACUUCAAAGGAUACUACAAGGCUACAGUAACCAAAACAGCAUGGUACUGGUACCAAAACAGAGAGAUAAACCAAUGGAAGAGAACAGAGCCCUCAGAAAUAAUACCAUACAUCUACAACCAUCUGAUCUUUGACAAACCUGACAAAAACAAGAAAUGGGGAAAGGAUUCCCUAUUUAAUAAAUAGUGCUGGGAAAACUGGCUAGCCAUAUGUAGAAAGCUAAAACUGGAUCCUUUCCUUACACCUUAUACAAAAAUUAAUUCAAGAUGGAUUAAAGACUUAAAUAUUAGACCUAAAAACCAUAAAAACCCUAGAAGAAAACCUAGGCAAUACCAUUCAGGACACAAGCAUGGGCAAUGACUUCAUGACUAAAACACCAAAAGCAAUGGCAACAAAAGCCAAAAUUGACAAAUGGGAUCUAAUUAAACUAAAGAGCUUCUGCACAGCAAAAGAAACCACCAUCAGAGUGAAGAGGCAACCUACAGAAUGGGAGAAAAUUUUUGCAAUCUACCCAUCUGACAAAGGGCUAAUAUCCAGAAUCUACAAAGAACUUAAACAAGUUUACAAGAAAAAAUCAAACAACCCCAUCACAAAGUGGGCAAAGGAUAUGAACAGACACUUCUCAAAAGAAGACAUUUAUGCAGCCAACAGACACAUGAAGAAAUGCUCAUCAUCACUGGUCAUCAGAGAAAUGCAAAUCAAAACCACAAUGAGAUACCAUCUCACACCAGUUAGAAUGACGAUCAUUAAAAAGUCAUGAAACAACAGAUGCUGGAGAGGAUGUGGAGAAACAGGAACACUCUUACACUGUUGAUGGGAGUGUGAAUUGGUUCAACCAUUGCGGAAGACAGUGUGGUGAUUCCUCAAGGAUCUGGAACUAGAAAUACCAUUUGAUCCAGCCAUCCCAUUACGGGGUAUAUACCCAAAGGAUUAUAAAUCAUGUUACUAUAAAGACACAUGCACAUGUAUGUUUACUGCAGCACUAUUUACAAUAGCAAAGACUUGUAACCAACCCAAAUGUCCAUCAAUGAUAGACUGGAUUAAGGAAAUGUGGCACAUAUACACCAUGGAAUACUAUGCAGCCAUAAAAAAGGAUGAGUUCAUGUCCUUUGCAGGGACAUGGAUGAAACUGGAAACCAUCAUUCUGAGCAAACUACCACAAGGACAGAAAACCAAACACUACACGCUCUCACUCAUAGGUGGGAAUUGAACAAUGAGAACACUUGGACACAGGGUAGGGAAUAUCACACACCCAGGCCUGUCAUGGGGUGGGGGGAGGGAGGAGGGAUAACAUUGGGAGGAAUAUCUAAUGUAAAUGAUGAGUUAAUGGGUGCAGCACACCAACUUGGCACAUGUAUAUGUAUGUAACAAACCUGCACAUUGUGCACAUGUACACUCGAACUUAAAAGUAUAAUAAAAAAAUUUUAAAAAGAAAGUAGCAUUUUAGAAAACAACUUCUCAAUAAAUAGCCUAUAAACAAAAAAAAAAGUAAAAAGAAAAAUAAGUGCAUCCUAUAGACAACACAACACAAUGGGCCAUGACCCAGCCAGGACAUGCCAACCUGUGAAGCUGGACAGAUAGAUGCCUAGAGCAGAGCCCAGGCUGCCCACAAGAAAUUGCUGAAAACUAAGGCUUAGGACAGACUGGAACCCAGAAAAGAAAGGAACCCCGGUCUUGGUCAUGGUUCAUGGCACCACUCCUUUAUAACAAUGCCCUAGAAGAAGCCCAUGCACCUCAGUGGGAGCACUCAUGCUGUUCUUGGGGAACCUUCAUAGGACUGUGCCCUGCCUUGAGCUGGAAGUCUCUGCAGUAGACAUCCUUCCAUAUUUUGUUCUUCAUCUUCUGAACGCCUUCAAGGUUUUUCAAUUGGAAAAAUUCUAUCUGCAUAAUCAACAAUGUGCUAAGGAACUCUACUUUUAGAUCUUCUUAGAAUUCAUAGUUCUUUGUACAUGAGGAUUAAAGCAUUCUUCUGUAUUCUCCACUUGUGAAAUAGAUUUGAGGUUGGUGGAGUCAGGAUUGGAAACACAUACAGGUGGGCAGGGGCAUGAAAGGGACUGGGACCCAGAUCAGAGCUGGAGGCUGAACUCCAGGGAGCCUUUGAAUAGCUAUGGAUAUCACCAGGGUGGGAAGGGACAGUGCUCCACUGUCCUGGGAUUCUCUUGAAACUGAGCUUGGCCUCCCUGCUGAGAGCAGAGAACAACCAUCAAUAAAUAUUCCUUCAAUGGUCUGAAGUUUACGUUUACAGGGUGGAGGUGGAAAUUAAAUUUAGGGAGCCAUGAGGAAGACCCCCAGCCCUGUGCCUUUUGAAUUGACAACCAUGGCAUUUCAGGGCAUCAGCUCCAGGUCAGGCAUUCUCAGGCAGUUGCAUAAUUCUGCCAAUGUGGGGCCCGCCCACCUCAAAAAUCCACAUGGAUUGGAUCCAGCAAAACCAAAUAUUCAGCAAAACUUCAAGAUCUAGCAACACUGAAGGCUCAAGUACAUCACCGGUGCAUACUUGGCCCAAGGAGGCUAUUCUCUCACAAUCUCUACCCAGCUCCGGGCCUGCAGCAUCUGAGACUCACUCCUUCAAGCUGCAGGUAUCCCAGGAAAAAGAUUUAUGCAUCCUCAUAGCUUCAACAUGCAGUGUGUCAGGCACAGAAAAAUGGUUGUCUUCAGAAAGUGAUAAAAAAAACAUGCAGUAGCAAUCACCCUUUGGACUUUGAAACUUUUCUGUCACCUUAGAUGUCAGAAACUAAAACCCAGAAACUUGGUGUUGGCAUUAAUUUGGUCUAGCUAUGAAGACUUUUUUUUUUUUUUUUUCACACAGUGACAGUUCUGAAUUUGAAUAUAAAGGAGCUUAGGUGCUAUAAUCUGAAUGGAACGUGGGAAUAAAACUGUCUUUGCCUUGUACUUCUUGUUAGAUUAAUUAAAUACCAAUUAUCAGUAUAAGAAAAUGGCAAUAAAUUGUCAAAGUGGAAUUGGAAAGUGUUUUUAGGAUUUGGAUAUGAAGCAGGCUUCCCAUGUGACCAUUCUCACUUCUUAUUCUGAAGUCUAACACUCUGCUUUUCUUUCUCUCCCUCUCUUCAUUGAUUCUUCUAGUGGCUGGUGUUUGGGUAUUGUGGGAACUGAGCUUUCAUCUCCUAUGUUAGCCAUAGAGAUGAGGGCUUUGAGGGCACCAUGGAAUCCGAUUGCUGGAAAUAAAUCAAUCUUAAAGGAAAGGAAAAUUUAAAAAUCAGGUGCAACAAAAGCAAAAUGAGAAAACUGCUAAACUCUACAAUUCUAUAAAGAAGAAUUGCAUAAAAAGGAAAUAACAGGAAAAGGUAAGAAAAUUUAAAAGGAUAUCAGAAAAUAUAGCAUACAGGGUCAGAAAGAUUUGAGAAUAUGACGAGAUGGUUUUAGAAGGCAGGAUGGGGCCGGGCACGGUGGCUCAUGCCUAUAAUCCCAGCACUUUGGGAGGCUGAGGCAGACGGAUCACGAGGUCAGGAGAUCGAGACCAUCCUGGCUAACACGGUGAAACCCUGUCUCUACUAAAAAUACAAAAAAAAAAAAAAAAAAAAAAAUUAGCCGGGCGUGUUGGCGGGCACCUGUAGUCCCAGCUACUCGGGAGGCUGAGGCAGGAGAUUGGCGUGAACACGGGAGGCGGAGCUUGCAGUGAGCGGAGAUCGCGCCACUGCACUCCAGCCUGGGAAACAGCGAGACUCUGGCUCAAAAAAAAAAAAAAAAAAAAAAAAAAAGGCAGGAUGGGCUGGGCGCGGUGGUUCACGCCUGUAAUCCCAGCACUUUGGGAGGCCGAGGCGGGCCGAUCGCCUCAGGUCAGGAGUUCGAGACCAGCCUGACCAACAUGGAGAAACCCCGUCUCUACUAAAAAUACAAAAUUAGCCGGGCAUGGUGGCC
rnacentral:lncRNA from 1 species